CAAUAGCGUAUAUUAAAGUUGUUGCAGUUAAAGAGCUCGUAGUUGGAUUUCUGGUUGAAGCGACCGGUCGGGCGUUGAUUCGUCUGCACUGGAGUCGGUUUUGGCCAUCCUCUAGGAAAGUGCGUCUGGUAUUAAGUUAUCGGGCGUAUGAUCCUGGUCUUUUACUGUGAAAAAAUUAGAGUGUUUAAAGCAGGCCUUCGCCUUGAAUACAUUAGCAUGGAAUAAUAAGAUAGGACUUUGGUCUAUUUUGUUGGUUUCUAGAGCUGAGGUAAUGAUUAAUAGGGAUAGUUGGGGGCAUUCGUAUUUAACUGUCAGAGGUGAAAUUCUUGGAUUUACGCAAGACAAACAGCUGCGAAAGCGUCUGCCAAGGAUGUUUNCAUUA
rnacentral:rRNA from 1 species